rnacentral:rRNA from 1 species
CGCAGCAGGCGCGAAAACUUUACAAUGCCGGCAACGGCGAUAAGGGAACCUCGAGUGCCAGGUUACAAAUCUGGCUGUCGUGAUGCCUAAAAAGCAUUGCAUAGCAAGGGCCGGGCAAGACCGGUGCCAGCCGCCGCGGUAACACCGGCGGCUCGAGUGGUAACCGUUAUUAUUGGGUCUAAAGGGUCUGUAGCCGGCCGGGUAAGUCUCUUGGGAAAUCUGGCAGCUUAACUGUCAGGCUUUCAGGAGAUACUGCCUGGCUCGAGGCCGGGAGAGGUGAGAGGUACUUCAGGGGUAGGGGUGAAAUCUUGUAAUCCUUGAAGGACCACCAGUGGCGAAGGCGUCUCACCAGAACGGACCUGACGGCAAGGGACGAAAGCUAGGGGCACUAACCGGAUUAGAUACCCGGGUAGUCCUAGCCGUAAACGAUACUCGCUAGGUGUCGGCCACGGUGCGACCGUGGUCGGUGCCGUAGGGAAGCCGUGAAGCGAGCCACCUGGGAAGUACGGCCGCAAGGCUGAAACUUAAAGGAAUUGGCGGGGGAGCAC